GUUUGAAGCACACAUAUACUGGAAUACAAAUGUUCUGAGAUAAGGAUCUUUUCUGAAUCUCGCAAUUUUGGUGGUGUACCCUGCAACAGCAUGUUUGUCGCUGUUUUUACUUCUGUUUAGAAGGUCAUCCAGCUAAGAGAUAGAGUUUCAGAGACGUGAAGAGUGUGAAGUGACCUGCCAUGUUUGUACCAGAUCUGCUUGAUGAAAGUCAAAUGCCUUACUAAAUUCAUAUCCCAUAUGAUAAAGCAUCAGGAAAUUUAUCUCAACAUAUGAGUGCUGAACAUGGGUUGCUGUGAAUUCCAUUUUUAUGGUUUUUUCAUCAUGAACGUUGCAGUGUGCUUCUUAGAAAAGAGCACGCAGUUCCUUUAUGGAUAUGUGUGGUCCUGGCACAGAGAUUCUUGUGCCAAUGCUGACCUUUGUCCAUGACGAAGAGGGACUUCCACCAAUGUCUUCUCCAUCCUUAUCUUCGCGACGUCCGCUCAUCUAGCUUCACUGCUUUGUAUAAACUGCUACUCAACUUACAAGUCUUACUUCAUUGACGAGUUGGAUCACUUCAGUGUUCGCUUCCGCCCGCUGUGACACACCUGUAAUCAUUCAUCGCGGGAUUAUGCCCAGGUAAUGCAGAGGAAACGUCGAGAAGGUGGACACCAAAACGUCGCCGGUAUCUCCAAAAUGUCGGCUCAGAUAAUCAUUUGUUGUUGGUAAUAUGUUUGUGAGUGUUAGU